UACGUAGGGUGCGAGCGUUGUCCGGAAUUAUUGGGCGUAAAGAGCUCGUAGGCGGUUUGUCGCGUCUGCUGUGAAAACUCAGGGCUUAACCCUGAGCCUGCAGUGGGUACGGGCAGACUAGAGUGUGGUAGGGGGAGAUCGGAAUUCCUGGUGUAGCGGUGGAAUGCGCAGAUAUCAGGAGGAACACCGGUGGCGAAGGCGGAUCUCUGGGCCAUAACUGACGCUGAGGAGCGAAAAGCAUGGGGAGCGAACAGG
rnacentral:rRNA from 1 species